rnacentral:rRNA from 1 species
UACGAAGGGUGCAAGCGUUACUCGGAAUUACUGGGCGUAAAGCGUGCGUAGGCGGUUUGUUAAGUCCGUUGUGAAAGCCCUGGGCUCAACCUGGGAAUUGCAGUGGAUACUGGCGAGCUAGAGUGCGGUAGAGGAUGGUGGAAUUCCCGGUGUAGCGGUGAAAUGCGUAGAGAUCGGGAGGAACACCCGUGGCGAAGGCGGCCAUCUGGACCAGCACGUGACGCUGAGGCA